UACGUAGGGUGCAAGCGUCGUCCGGAAUUAUUGGGCGUAAAGAGCUUGUAGGCGGUUUGUCGCGUCUGCUGUGAAAUUUCGGGGCUCAACCCCGAACUUGCAGUGGGUACGGGCAGACUAGAGUGUGGUAGGGGAGACUGGAAUUCCUGGUGUAGCGGUGAAAUGCGCAGAUAUCAGGAGGAACACCGAUGGCGAAGGCAGGUCUCUGGGCCGCAACUGACGCUGAGGAGCGAAAGCAUGGGGAGCGAACAGG
rnacentral:rRNA from 1 species